rnacentral:rRNA from 1 species
CAGUCGCCACGGUAAUACGUAGGGUGCAAGCGUUAAUCGGAAUUACUGGGCGUAAAGCGUGCGCAGGCGGUUUGUUAAGACAGAAGUGAAAUCCCCGGGCUUGACCUGGGAACUGCAUUUGUGACUGGCAAGCUAGAGUAUGGCAGAGGGGGGUGGAAUUCCGCGUGUAGCAGUGGAAUGCGUAGAUAUGCGGAGGAACACCGAUGGCGAAGGCAGCCCCCUGGGCCAAUACUGACGCUCAUGCACGAAAGCGUGGGGAGCAAACAGGAUUAGAUACCCCCGUAGUCCCUGUCUCUUAUAC